GCGGCCGUGACCCUGCUGGAGUGCGGGGGGGACCUCCAGCCCCCCGGGGGGUCCCUGCGCCUCCUCUGCCGAGGGGCCGGGUUCAGUUUUGGGGAUUUUGGGAUGGGCUGGAUGCGCCAGAGAGCCGGGCAGGGUUUGGAGUUUGUGGCGAGUGUCACCGGUGAUGGCGCCACUCCCAGAUACGCGCCGUCGGUCAAGGGCCGGUUCAGGAUCUCCAGGGACAACGGGCAGAGCUCGGUGACGCUGACCAUGAACAACCUCAAGGACGAGGAUUCCGCCGUUUAUUUCUGUGUCAAACUUUGCAAUGGUUACGCUGGCAAUGCUAUUGACGCUGGUUUUGGCGUCACUUCUGUCCGGCCCUGCCCCUCCGUCCCAGUGCGGAACGGGGAUCGCUCCGGGGCCCUUUGCACACAAAGCUUUUUGUGCAGCCGGCGCUCUGCCGCAGCGCCCCGAGGCUGA